ensembl:lncRNA
ACUCAACCCUCUAUGAGUAAGGGUUGACAUAGACCGCAGACUGACAUGACACACCAUGAGUUUUAGGCAUUUAUUGACUGAACGGACCCAACGAAUGAAAGAAAAGCCCACACAGGAAUUUUCUGAAUUUGUUGAAUCAAAUCAUAUUGAGGUAUUAGGCCCAAUAAAGAAUAAAGGCCAGAACUUUCUUCUUCUCAGCUGUAAGAUCCUGGCAGAAGUCUUCUUUUUUAACACAUUAUUUGACCAGAGACAUUUUAAUACAUCUUUUGGUACACCUGAAUGUUACUGACUGUACACAUUUAAAUAUUCACUUACAUAACAAAUUACCACAGGCAUUAGUUUCUGCAAAAAUCCCCUGUACCUGCAUACAUGUAAUAUGGCAGGAAUAUGUUAAAAUUUUUUAUUGUGGGAAAAUACACAUAACGUUUAUACUUUUAACCAUUCAUAAUUGUAUAAAUCAGCGGCAUUAAACACAUUCACAGUGGUGACACAGCUAGUCACCACUGUAUAACUUUUUCAUCAUCCUCAACAAAAACUGUAAUACACCCAUUAAACAAUAACUCCCUAUCCCCCUCCUUCCAGCCCCUGGUAGCCUCUAUCCUAUGUUAUGUCUCUUUGAAUGUACAGUCUCACGUAUUUCACCUAGCUGAAUGUCUUCCAGAUUCAUCCAUAGCAUGUGUCAGAAUUUCAUUCCUUUCUGAAGCUGAAUAAUACUUUGUUGUAUGAGAACUCUUCUUGCUGGCUUAAGUACCUGUUAUCUACUGCAGCAAGGAAAAGUCCCUUGUCUACGUUUGAAAGUACUUAAGUACUUUUAGUAAAUACCACAUCAAAAACAACAUUUGCAAGUGUAGAGAAGUUUGCUUCCAUCUAGAUAAACCUCAUUUUCAUUGAGGGUAAUAAAAAUGAAAUGACAAAAGUAGAAAAUGUUGGCAAUAAUUGUGUAGAAAAAGACUGUUUCAACAAAUAUCCAUGCAACAAAUGUGAUAUGUGACGAGUUAUUUUCUCUUGGUAAGGGUUGGAGAUGUUUCACUUUGAGGGUUUGUUUUUUUUUUUAAUCCAUUUUCUAAAAAUGGAUGCUGUGUUUGUUUCACUCAAUAAAAGACAUUUUAUCCCAAAACCGUAAGAACUAUUUUACCAUCAUACUCAUAGUUUCUCCUCAUAAACUGAGAAAAUAAAGAGAUGUUCGAGUCCUAAAAUCUUAUAGCUUGGCUCACUUUAUAUCAACAUGGUAAAAGGUUCACAUGUAUAUUCAAUCAGUCUGUCAUUAGUAUCUGAAUAAACUACAACUUUCACAAGCAGCAUACCAAACAUAAACAUUUCAGAGUUAAACAACUUACUAUGAAUGUGUUUCUAUAUUAGAUCACUAAAAAGUUUGUGUUUCUUGUUCCACCAACUCCAGUUCCCCUCUUCUGCUCUCAGAAAGUGGAUCUUCUUUGAAAAAUGUCUGGGCUUCAAACACCUGACCGUUUCUCAUACUAGGAGAGUGCUUCAUCUGUGGUCGCCUCGCCUCUGCCUGGAGUGCGUGCCCUAAGCCCAGGCCCUUCAGCCAAGGGCUCAGAUAAAGCGUUCACCCGCUACCUGGUUAAUGACGCAUCCUGUUUGCCCCCUGCCCUUUUGUGUUGGCCAGUGCCUUUGCUUCCAGGCCCGUAUCCCAGCCUUCCACGAGAACGGCGGGUCUCCCCAUCCAUGCGUCUUCCCCCAAACCGCUUCCAAGGGAGGCAGUGACCACCUGUGUGGAUGGUGGGACACUCGGUGUCUGGGGUUGUCACCACGACCCGGGUGCUGGGCUGCCUGCAGACGCUAACGUGCUGAGAAUCACUGCUGUCUGGGCCUCUCACAGUGGCAGCCUGCUGCUCUGGGACGCCUUCGCAGGCAUUUGGGUAGAACUCAGCAGUGGAGCAGCAGGGUCAGCUGUGAUUAAUCUGCAGAAUUACCAAACAAGCUUUCUGUGGCUUGGAAAGGACUGGAAGGUACCGCGCCCCGCAGUUGCUGAGCUCAGAGGGGCAGUGCACCUGCGUGUGAACUUCACAUCUCAAACUAUCUUUUUUUGCCUCUUGCUCUGCACGUCCCUUUAAAGCAUUUGGAAUCAAGUGGUGCAUGCGUGUUGUUUCAGUCGUCUCUGACUCUCUGCGACCCCAUGGAUGAUAACCCACCAGGCUCCUCUGUCCACAGGAUUAUCCUGGCAAAAAUACUGAAGUGGGUUGCCAUUUCCUUCCUCCAGUGGGAUCUUCCCAACCCAGGGAUCAAACCCAUGUCUCCGGUGUCUCCUGCUUUGGCAGGCAGGUUC